rnacentral:rRNA from 1 species
GUUAGGAAUAUUGGACAAUGGGCGAAAGCCUGAUCCAGCCAUGCCGCGUGAACGAUGAAGGCCUUCGGGUUGUAAAGUUCUUUAGCCGAUGAUUAUAAUGACUGUAGUCGGAAAAUAAGCCCCGGCUAACUUCGUGCCAGCAGCCGCGGUAAUACGAAGGGGGCGAGCGUUAUUCGGAAUCACUGGGCGUAAAGCGUGCGUAGGCGGUUUUGUAAGUUAGGAGUGAAAGCCCAGGGCUCAACCUUGGAAUUGCUCUUAAAACUGCAAGGCUCGAAUCUCGGAGAGGAUAGCGGAAUUUCCAGUGUAGCAGUGAAAUGCGUAGAUAUUGGAAGGAACACCAGUGGCGUAAGCGGCUAUCUGGACGAGUAAUGACGCUGAGGCACGAAAGCGUGGGGAUCAAACAGGAUUAGAAACCCCAGUAGUCC